rnacentral:lncRNA from 14 species
CCCAAAAUCCGCUCCUAGACCAGGUGAGAUACCCCAAUGUCCCCAAUGUCCCCAAUGUCCCCAAUGUCCCGCAGGGAGGUUUUGGGGCACCCCGAUGUGGGGGCGCUGCUGCGGGCGCAGGAAUUGGGGCCCCUCCUGCCCCCCGACACCCAGAGGGACCUGGAGAGAUCCUGCAUCGCUGCGGUCAAGGCCAAGGUGGAGGUGGCCGUGGCGCAGGAGCUGCAGCUCAGCGAGGACAGGUGGCCCGAGGAUGUCACCAGCCAGGACAUGGAGGACGGGCUGGCCACGCGUGUCACCGGGGUUUGUCCCUGUCCCCCUGGGGUGGCAUCUGGGGACACUGCGGUGACAGCCAUGAGGGGACAGCGGGGGCUCAGGGGACUCUGUGGCAGUGGCGGUGUCACCAUGGCCCAGGGGGCACCGUGGCCGUGUCCCCACACCCGUGGUGGCCUUGUCCCACGGUGGCCUUGUCCCCACGGUGGCCUUGUCCCCACAGCUGCUGCGGGCGCACGUGGACCGAGCCCCCCAGGUGACCCCCGAGUUCGGCCGGGAGAUGGCGCACAGCCUGCUGGGAGUGCUGGUGGCCUUCCUGCACAGCUUCCAGCGCAAGGUCGAGCGGUUCCUGGACAGCCCCGGCGAGCUGCCGCCCCCCGACGCCGCCCCCGGCCGCGCCAUCGCCCUGGCCAACUGCUGCCCCC